AUGAUAAGUUUGACCAGUUCAGAGACCAUGACGACGUCACUCUCCUCCCCUCCGCACCCCAAAUGCGUGGUGGGUUCUCGGUCUGAGGUGUUGACUGAAGUGGUCUGAUGGGUUGGUUGGCAGCUUCCUGAAGCUUCUCAGCCCACGCAGGUCCCCGAUCUCCAGGGCAGGACCUGUUCUGAAGGUGAUGAGUCUGAUUGGACCUGAACUCCAGGCCCGUGCUGAUGCCGGCAAUGGUCCAUCAUCUGUGAACUGGUGGCAGGAACAGGGCUCCUCACAGGACCAUGUGGCAUACGAUACAUAUGAUAUCUCCAUACGAUGCCCGAGCCCUGGUCAGUGUGGCAAGUGACCAGAGAUCCACCUUCCCUGUCUCCUUUGACUGAGCGAAUGGAGUUGCCAAGUUAAACCUAGAAUCUGUGGGCAGUCCAGAGAAAACUGUUCGAAUCUGAGCUGCGGAUGUAAUGUCGGGGCUUGGAAGCCUGUGGUGGGGGUCGGGGUCAUAGGUGGUACCAGCAGCAGAGUGGGGACUCCUUCCCAGUGGAGUUUUUGGUGGGUACCCAUGACUAGGUGAAGCAAGGCAUUGGUGGAGG